rnacentral:ncRNA from 1 species
UGCGAUAGGGCAAGGGGCAGAGCCGGGACUGCCAAAGUGAAGCGGCGCGCCACAGAAGCAUGAGAACCAUUCAUGCCUGUCAUUGCCGACGCCGGUACAGCCACGCAGGAUCAUACCCUGUAUAAAAAAUGGGCUGUAUCACCGCACAAAGAAUGCGGGGCCUGGCGGUGCAGCGCGUUCUGGUAAAAAAACUCGGAGGGAAAUGCACGUAUGAUGGUUCCAUGCGUGCGUUUUC